AUUGAACGCUGGCGGCAGGCCUAACACAUGCAAGUCGAGCGGUAACAGAGAUAGCUUGCUAUCUGCUGACGAGCGGCGGACGGGUGCGUAACGCGUAGGAAUUUGCCCGAUAGUGGGGGAUAGCCCGGAGAAAUUCGGAUUAAUACCGCAUACCUUCUACGGAAGAAAGCAGGGGAUCUUCGGACCUUGCGCUAUCGGAUGAGCCUGCGUCGGAUUAGCUAGUUGGUGGGGUAAAUGCCUACCAAGGCGACGAUCCGUAGCUGGUCUGAGAGGAUGAUCAGCCACACUGGGACUGGGACACGGCCCAGACUCCUACGGGAGGCAGCAGUGGGGAAUAUUGCACAAUGGGCGCAAGCCUGAUGCAGCCAUGCCGCGUGUGUGAAG
rnacentral:rRNA from 1 species